UUUCAAGCUCCUGUCUGUUCCUUUACUGGGCUUCAUGGUUGGGUCCUUCCUCGACAACCUAGAGACAAAUAGAAUGACCAUGUUCAGGGACAAAUCAGCACUCUACGGAAGAGAACUGGCCGAGGGAGAGAAACCAUCAUGGCCCU